rfam:Ajellomyces capsulatus H88 unplaced genomic scaffold supercont1.2, whole genome shotgun sequence.
GGGAAGAUGGCCGAGUGGUUAUGGCGCUACGUUCAGGUCUUGGCAUGACGAAUUCACCCGAUUCGAUCAUCCGGGCUUCGUAGUAGGGCAACCUGCGUGGGUUCGAGUCCCACUCUUCUCA